rnacentral:rRNA from 1 species
CUCUGUGACUCCUACGGGAGGCAGCAGUGGGAAUAUUGCACAAUGGGCGCAAGCCUGAUGCUGCCAUGCCGCGUGUGUGAAGAAGGCCUUCGGGUUGUAAAGCACUUUCAGUUGUGAGGAAGGUGGUGUCGUUAAUAGCGGCAUCAUUUGACGUUAGCAACAGAAGAAGCACCGGCUAACUCCGUGCCAGCAGCCGCGGUAAUACGGAGGGUGCGAGCGUUAAUCGGAAUUACGUGGGCGUAAAGCGCAUGCAGGUGGUUUGUUAAGUCAGAUGUGAAAGCCCCGGGGCUCAACCUCGGAACUGCAUUUGAAACUGGCAGACUAGAGUACUGUAGAGGGGGUAGAAUUUCAGGUGUAGCGGUGAAAUGCGUAGAGAUCUGAAGGAAUACCGGUGGCGAAGGCGGCCCCCUGGACAGAUACUGACACUCAGAUGCGAAAGCGUGGGGAGCAAACAGGAUUAGAUACCCUGGUAG